UCUUUCUCCGCCGGCGACCGGCGCGCGGGUGAGUAACACGUAUGCAACCUCGCCCCUGUCAGGGGGACAACCCGCCGAAAGGCGGGCUAAACCCGCGUACAUGCCACCGGGGCAUCCCGGAGGCAGGAAAGGCUUCGGCCGGACAGGGAUGGGCAUGCGGCGCAUUAGGCAGUAGGCGGGGUAACGGCCCACCUAACCGACGAUGCGUAGGGGUUCUGAGAGGAAGGUCCCCCACACUGGUACUGAGACACGGACCAGACUCCUACGGGAGGCAGCAG
rnacentral:rRNA from 1 species